rnacentral:rRNA from 1 species
GUAGGGUGCGAGCGUUAAUCGGAAUUACUGGGCGUAAAGCGUGCGCAGGCGGCUUUKCAAGACAGAUGUGAAAUCCCCGGGCUCAACCUGGGAACUGCAUUUGUGACUGCAAGGCUAGAGUACGGCAGAGGGGGAUGGAAUUCCGCGUGUAGCAGUGAAAUGCGUAGAUAUGCGGAGGAACACCAAUGGCGAAGGCAAUCCCCUGGGCCUGUACUGACGCUCAUGCACGAAAGCGUGGGGAGCAAACAGGAUUAGAUACCCUGGUAGUCCACGCCCUAAACGAUGUCAACUGGUUGUUGGACGGCUUGCUGUUCAGUAACGAAGCUAACGCGUGAAGUUGACCGCCUGGGGAGUACGGCCGCAAGGUUGA